UACGGGGGGGGCAAGCGUUGUUCGGAAUUACUGGGCGUAAAGGGCUCGUAGGCGGCCAACUAAGUCCGACGUGAAAUCCCAAGGCUUAACCUUGGAACUGCGUCGGAUACUGGAUGGCUUGAAUUCGGGAGAGGGAUGCAGAAUUCCAGGUGUAGCGGUGAAAUGCGUAGAUAUCUGGAGGAAUACCGGUGGCGAAGGCGGCAUCCUGGACCGACAUUGACGCUGAUGAGCGAAAGCUAGGGGAGCAAACAGG
rnacentral:rRNA from 1 species